rnacentral:rRNA from 1 species
UACGUAGGGUGCAAGCGUUGUCCGGAAUUAUUGGGCGUAAAGGGCUCGUAGGCGGUUUGUCGCGUCGGGAGUGAAAUCCACUGGCUUAACUGGUGGCUUGCUUUCGAUACGGGCAGACUGGAGGUAUGCAGGGGAGAACGGAAUUCCUGGUGUAGCGGUGAAAUGCGCAGAUAUCAGGAGGAACACCGGUGGCGAAGGCGGUUCUCUGGGCAUGUCCUGACGCUGAGGAGCGAAAGUGUGGGGAUCAAACAGG